CUGCACCUGUUUAAACAGAGUUCAGAGAAAUACUGUUCAGGUGGCCACUUUCUGGCAAAGAAAGGAAAAGCAAAGGAAUGAGAGACUGUGCUGGGGGGAAAAAAAGUGCUCACUCUAGAAGCUAUAUGGGAUCUACAGCUGAGAUGCAGAAAGCAAUAGAACGACAGAACAAGAAUAAGAAGGGAAAUCCUGUCGGAAACUACAUGAAGCCCUGAUGUGAACUUUAGUAAUGGCCUUCACGAACACAUUACAUUAAAAGCAAAACUAUAUCGAUUUUAAAGGGCUUGAUGAUGGUUUCUUACAAUUUAGUGUGUGUUUGCUUAAUACAGUCGUAAUUUCCAUCCGGCCCACUGUCACAAAAAAAACAAAAAAAAUCGUUUUUUUAUUCUGAAAACAGCUGAUGGUUAAUGGGCAUUAACCUCAAAGGAUUUCAAAGGUUUUAGAGAUAUGCUACACUCUUCAAAAAACUCUCCUCACUGACCUCCAAAAUAUACUUUUUUAAAACUUACUUGUAAUUCUUGCAAAUUCUGGAAAGAUAUUUUUUUCUUAAUGUCCACUGGCAUAUUUUGAUUUCAUCAUCUAAUAUUCCUAUUUUCCCCUCUCAGGUCAUAGUGACUCCCAUCACAAACUCCAGCUGAACUAACUUGGAAGAGUAUCCUCCCUGACAGCUCUGGAAGGAAAUUGACAGAACUUUCAUAAAGCCAAAGACUGGCAGAAAUAAAGUAAAUAAUGAUAAAACUGAGCAAUAGAUCACCCAGAAGGAGUGUCCCCUGCCAAAAGGAAUGUGGCAUUUCACCCUGUGAGAAACAAAUAGACACCCUGUCCUACGGAAGACUGGGGCUUACAUGUCACCGUCACUCACUUCUUUAUCCUUUCGCCAAAGGAAGCCACUUCAUCUAGGAUGUUCUGGACACUGACACAUACCUCCUGGAUGGCGUAGAUUUUAUUUAUAAAUCCCUUUUUUUCACUGUCCUAAAAUGCAAUAAAAAAAAAAAAAUUCUGUAUGA